rnacentral:lncRNA from 1 species
AAAGACGAUCCAUCGGAGUAAUACACUCACCAGGAACAGAGACUCUAACAAGACUCUUGUGGGGAUAAUAAAAGAAAAAGAAUGCGUGAGCAGGACACGACUUUGAGUUAGGGAAAACAAAACUGACACAGCGUGCACAAGACACGAUUCUGAUUAGGGAAUAGCAACAAUCAGACUGGAGACCUCACUGGGGAAGUAAAGGACUCGAACCGGGGAAAGAAGCAAUUCCAAAGGAAAACACUCCCAUUGGAAAAGAC